CAGCCCUCGAUAAAUCUUGAAGGCGAGUAUCAGAGGAAGCUCACUUAGUUGCAGCUGAAACUAGUAGCUGCCUUGGAUCAUUAUCCUUUCCAAGAAUCCUGGGUUACGGUUUUGAAGGCUGUAUGUACAGAGCCCCGUAUCAGUUCUAAAUGGCUUUUUCACUGUUAAGCAGAGAUUCUCAGUCCCUUGCAAACUAAGCUUCGAUCAUAAAAUGGUGGAGGCACGCUCUAAUUAACACCAUACCAAGUGGAUGGGCUGAGAGCAUCACCUUAACACUGAAACCUUGCUCCACCUCUGCCAUAUUGUAAUUGGAGGCCGAGUCAUUAUUUAGCAAUGAUGGGGGACCUGGCACACAUGAAUGUGAGAUACAAUAACCACUUCAAUCAGUCGAAAUGGUUAUGUUGCCUACAGAACUACUUUGUGUUUAGUUGCCCAGAAGAGAUUAGUUGCCCACUAACCGCUGAAUGGCAGUGAACUAAAAUCUGAAUAGGAAAACUAAUUAAAAUAGGCAAACUGUGCCUAUAAGAUAGUUGGAGAAUUUCUCCUGAUUAGCUGCUUUUCAAUUUAGAGUUUAGAGAAUAAACCCACCUAAAUCAUCAGUGUUACUGUGCAGUGGCAUAUUCAUUCAUCAUUCAAAAAUUAAUUUAGGAAAACACUCCAAGCACCUUAAAUACUCCAGAG